rnacentral:tRNA from 1 species
GCCCCGGUGGCGGAAUUGGUAGACGCGUCGGUCUCAAAAACCGAUGAACUCUGUUCGUGCCGGUUCGAUUCCGGCCCGGGGUA